GCCUCAACAAGUCUUGUUUACGCGACUAUCUGUUCGGGUGUAAAUGUAUCGAUGUAGUAUCGAUGUCCCGUAAAUGUGUCCGGAGAUACGUAAUGUGUUAAUGUUUAGCCAUAAAUAUGUCCGGUAAUGGCCCGUUAACAAAGAUAUACCGCAUCUAUGUACCCAAUUAUCUUAUCUCAACUAUGCUUUACCGCCUUAGUAUUGCUUUAUAAGUUUGUUACUGUGAAGAAUACAUUAUAUUAAUUAUUAAAAACUUUUGUGUGGCAGCAUCACUCUCCUCUUCAGCAGGCAUUUGCAGAAAUGCGGCGGACAUUCAUACUGGUAACGUGGCUUCAUCGUCAUUUACUCGCACGGGGGCAUGCAGAAACGAACCCGAAAUUCAUAAAGUGAAUGUGUCUGCAACACCAACUUCGUCUGGUACUCGCACGUUUUGAACAAUGGGACGACAACAUUUAACUCCAUUCCCAAAGAGUUACAGUGUGUGAUGGUUUACAAAUGUAUACCUUAUUUUUUAAUAUUUGGAAGUAUUUUUAGAUGCACACCAAACUUUCACAGCUGACAUUUAGAAUCCUUUUCUUUUAAUUAGAGCCAUAUUGUACUGGUCAUAUAGAAUAUUGUUACAUGUAUACAUAUUGUUACUUUAUUAUUUAUAAUUACAAUGAAGCUUCUUCAUUUAUAAUUACAAUAAAGCUUCUUAAAUCUA